GGGCCCUUAGCUCAGUUGGUUAGAGCGCUCGACUCAUAAUCGAUCGGUCGAAGGUUCAAGUCCUUCAGGGCCCA
rnacentral:tRNA from 1 species